rnacentral:rRNA from 1 species
GAUGAUUCUAGUGUCAAACUGUUUCGUGCAGUGAUCUACGCGGGAGACAACGUCAGGUGGGGAGUUUGGCUGGGGCGGCACAUCUGUUAAACAAUAACACAGGUGUCCUAAGGUCAGCUCAAUGAGAACAGAAAUCUCAUGUAGAACAAAAGGGUAAAAGCUGACUUGAUUUUGAUUUUCAGUACGAAUACAAACUGUGAAAGCAUGGCCUAACGAUCCUUUAGUCUUUCGGAAUUUGAAGCUAGAGGUGUCAGAAAAGUUACCACAGGGAUA